CCUACGGGCGGCUGCAGUGGGGAAUAUUGGACAAUGGGGGGAACCCUGAUCCAGCCAUGCCGCGUGUGUGAAGAAGGCCCUCGGGUUGUAAAGCACUUUCAGUGAGGAAGAACGCCUGGUGGUUAAUAUCCAUCAGGAAAGACAUCACUCACAGAAGAAGCACCGGCUAACUCCGUGCCAGCAGCCGCGGUAAUACGGAGGGUGCGAGCGUUAAUCGGAAUUACUGGGCGUAAAGCGCGCGUAGGUGGCUUGAUAAGCCGGUUGUGAAAGCCCCGGGCUCAACCUGGGAACGGCAUCCGGAACUGUCAAGCUAGAGUGCAGGAGAGGAAGGUAGAAUUCCCGGUGUAGCGGUGAAAUGCGUAGAGAUCGGGAGGAAUACCAGUGGCGAAGGCGGCCUUCUGGACUGACACUGACACUGAGGUGCGAAAGCGUGGGUAGCAAACAGGAUUAGAUACCCCAGUAGUC
rnacentral:rRNA from 1 species